rnacentral:rRNA from 1 species
UGAGGAAUAUUGGUCAAUGGACGGAAGUCUGAACCAGCCAAGUAGCGUGCAGGAUGACGGCCCUCCGGGUUGUAAACUGCUUUUAGUUGGGAAUAAAAAAGAGGACGUGUCCUCUAUUGUAUGUACCUUCAGAAAAAGGACCGGCUAAUUCCGUGCCAGCAGCCGCGGUAAUACGGAAGGUCCAGGCGUUAUCCGGAUUUAUUGGGUUUAAAGGGAGCGUAGGCGGAUUAUUAAGUCAGUGGUGAAAGACGGUGGCUCAACCAUCGUUAGCCAUUGAAACUGGUAGUCUUGAGUGCAGACAGGGAUGCUGGAACUCGUGGUGUAGCGGUGAAAUGCUUAGAUAUCACGAUGAACUCCGAUCGCGAAGGCAGGUGUCCGGGCUGCAACUGACGCUGAGGCUCGAAAGUGUGGGUAUCAAACA